AUUGAACGCUGGCGGCAUGCCUUACACAUGCAAGUCGAACGGCAGCAUGAUCUAGCUUGCUAGAUUGAUGGCGAGUGGCGAACGGGUGAGUAAUACAUCGGAACGUGCCCUGUAGUGGGGGAUAACUAGUCGAAAGAUUAGCUAAUACCGCAUACGACCUGAGGGUGAAAGUGGGGGACCGCAAGGCCUCAUGCUAUAGGAGCGGCCGAUGUCUGAUUAGCUAGUUGGUGAGGUAAAGGCUCACCAAGGCGACGAUCAGUAGCUGGUCUGAGAGGACGAUCAGCCACACUGGGACUGAGACACGGCCCAGACUCCUACGGGAGGCAGCAGUGGGGAAUUUUGGACAAUGGGCGAAAGCCUGAUCCAGCAAUGCCGCGUGUGUGAAGAAGGCCUUCGGGUUGUAAAGCACUUUUGUCCGGAAAGAAAUGGAUCUGGUUAAUACCUGGGGUCGAUGACGGUACCGGAAGAAUAAGGACCGGCUAACUACGUG
rnacentral:rRNA from 1 species